AUGAACGCUGGCGGCGUGGAUAAGGCAUGCAAGUCGAGUGGCCUCGUAGCAAUACGAGAUACCACGGCGAACGAGGUAGUAACACGUAGAUAACAUACCCCCGAGUCAAGAAUAAUUCCGCGAAAGCGGAGCUAACACUUGAUGGUCCCUCACUGAUAAAUAGGUGAACGGUAAAAAUUUAUUGCUCGUGGAAUGGUCUGCGGGAUAUCAGCUAGUUGGUAGGGUAAAAGCCUACCAAGGCAAUGACGUCUAGGGGAGGUGAGAGCCUGACCCCCACCGAUGGAACUGAGAUACGGUCCAUACACCUACGGGUGGCCGCAGUCGAGAAUCUUCCGCAAUGGACGAAAGUCUGACGGAGCGACGCCGCGUGAACGAUGAAGUGCUUCGGCACGUAAAGUUCUUUUAUGGGGGAGAAAGUUUAUUGAUAGUACCCCACGAAUAAGAGGCUACAAACUCUGU
rnacentral:rRNA from 1 species